UACAGAGGUGUCAAGCGUUGCUCGGUAUCACUGGGCUUAAAGGGCGCGUAGGCUGUGCGGUACGGUUCGGGUGAAAUCCCUCGGCUCAACCGAGGAACUGCCCGGGCGACGGCCGCGCUGGACUGCAUCAGGGGACGAUGGAACUCCCGGUGGAGCGGUGAAAUGCGUAGAUAUCGGGAGGAACGCCGGUGGCGAAGGCGACCACCUGGACUGAUACUGACACUGAGGUGCGAAAGCGUGGGGAGCAAACAGG
rnacentral:rRNA from 1 species